rnacentral:rRNA from 1 species
ACAGAGGGUGCAAGCGUUAAUCGGAAUUACUGGGCGUAAAGCGCGCGUAGGCGGUUUAAUAAGUCGGAUGUGAAAGCCCCGGGCUCAACCUGGGAAUUGCAUUCGAUACUGUUAGACUAGAGUAUGGUAGAGGUAAGUGGAAUUCCAGGUGUAGCGGUGAAAUGCGUAGAUAUCUGGAGGAACAUCAGUGGCGAAGGCGACUUACUGGACCAAUACUGACGCUGAGGUGCGAAAGCGUGGGGAGCAAACAGG